rnacentral:lncRNA from 1 species
AAAGAAAUGAACAUUUCUGAUAAACUUAUUUGUCAUUGCUUGCAGAACACCUUGUGGAGAAAAGCAAGAAAUAUGGGAUCUUAUGCUGUCCAUGGAGACACCACACACUGUGAAGGAUAAGGCUUUCCUGGGCAACAAAGCACCAGGAGAAAUACAGCAGGGUGUCAAACUCUGUUCCAGCCUGGAGACUGGAUGCGCUGCUGCCCUCUAACUCGGCCCACCUCCUGGAGACCACCUCCUGAAUGAAGAAAUUGCCUGAACCCUGACUACUCUUUGUAGAAAGAGACUACUACAAGUACAGUGGAAAUAAAGCAUCCUGCAGAAGGACUAUACCCA